rnacentral:rRNA from 1 species
UACAGAGACUGCAAGCGUUAUUCGGAUUUACUGGGCGUAAAGGGCGCGUAGGCGGCGUGACAAGUCACUUGUGAAAUCUCUGAGCUUAACUCAGAACGGCCAAGUGAAACUGUUGUGCUAGAGUGCAGAAGGGGCAAUCGGAAUUCUUGGUGUAGCGGUGAAAUGCGUAGAUAUCAAGAGGAACACCUGAGGUGAAGACGGGUUGCUGGGCUGACACUGACGCUGAGGCGCGAAAGCCAGGGGAGCAAACGGG